rnacentral:tRNA from 1 species
GGGGUGGUGGCUCAGUGGUAGAGCGCUUGCCUAGCAUGCAUGAGGCACUGGGUUUGUUCCA